CUAACAGGAUUCCCUUAGUAACUGCGAGUGAAGAGGGAAAAGCUCAAAUUUAAAAUCUGGCAGUGUUUCACUGUCCGAGUUGUAACCUAGAGAAGUGUAACCUGCGCUGGACCGUGUAUAAGUCUCCUGGAAUGGAGCAUCACAGAGGGUGAGAAUCCCGUCUUUGACAUGGACUACCAGUGCAUUGUGGUUGCGCUCUCAACGAGUCGAGUUGUUUGGGAAUGCAGCUCUAAAUGGGUGGUAAAUUCCAUCUAAAGCUAAAUAUUGGCGAGAGACCGAUAGCGAACAAGUACCGUGAGGGAAAGAUGAAAAGAACUUUGGAAAGAGAGUUAAACAGUAUGUGAAAUUGUUGAAAGGGAAACGUUUGAAGUCAGUCGCGUUGGUUGGGGAUCAGCCUGACGUUGUUGGGUGUACUUCCUGGCCGACGGGCCAACAUCAGUUUUGACUGCCAGAAAAAGAUCAAAGGAAUGUGGCACCUUUGGGUGUGUUAUAGCCCUUGGUCGUAUAUGGUGGUUGGGACUGAGGAAAGCAGCGUGCCAAAAGGCCGGGUUUCGACCACGUUCACGCUGAGGAUGUUGGCAUAAUGGCUUUAAGCGACCCGUCUUGAAACACGGACCAAGGAGUCUAACAUGCAUGCGAGUGUUUGGGUGGAAAACCCUUACGCGUAAUGAAAGUGAAAGUUGAGAUCCCUGUCGCGGGGAGCAUCGACGCCCGGACCAGAACUUUUGGGACGGAUCCGCGGUAGAGCACGUAUGUUGGGACCCGAAAGAUGGUGAACUAUGCCUGAAUAGGGUGAAGCCAGAGGAAACUCUGGUGGAGGCUCGUAGCGAUUCUGACGUGCAAAUCGAUCGUCAAAUUUGGGUAUAGGGGCGAAAGACUAAUCG
rnacentral:rRNA from 1 species